GCUGUAGCUCAGAUGUAGAGCUUCUGCUUUGCUUGGAGAAGCUCCUAGGUUCAAUUCCUGGCAUCUGCA